rnacentral:rRNA from 1 species
CCACCUUUGACAUGUACGGAACUCACCAGAGAUGGCUUGGUGCUCGAAAGAGAACCGUAACACAGGUGCUGCAUGGCUGUCGUCAGCUCGUGUCGUGAGAUGUUGGGUUAAGUCCCGCAACGAGCGCAACCCUUGUCAUUAGUUGCUACAUUUAGUUGGGCACUCUAAUGAGACUGCCGGUGACAAACCGGAGGAAGGUGGGGAUGACGUCAAGUCCUCAUGGCCCUUAUAGGUGGGGCUACACACGUCAUACAAUGGCUGGUACAAAGGGUUGCCAACCCGCGAGGGGGAGCUAAUCCCAUAAAGCCAGUCGUAGUCCGGAUCGCAGUCUGCAACUCGACUGCGUGAAGUCGGAAUCGCUAGUAAUCGUGGAUCAGAAUGUCACGGUGAAUACGUUCC